GUGCAGCCCAUGAGAAUCUGUUCCAGUGAAAUGCUACAUUCAAAGAAGUGCUGUCCACCCCAGAAGAUCCCAGAGGACGCAAUUCUGGCUGUGCUGGGAAGUGCUAAAGUUCCCUUCAUAUGUCACUCUGGAGAAGGAGCGGCAAAGCAGCCAUGUUGAGUUCCUCUCAACAUUUGGCAUCAUGGACGAUGGUAGCUAAAAGAAAAAAAAAAAAAGACAAGUUACCACAUGAUAGAUGGAGUCUUUUAUGUUGCUCAGGCUGGUCUCAAACUCCUGUGCUCAAGCAAUCUUCCCACCUCUGCCACUCAACGUAUCGGGAUUACAGGCAUGAACCACUGCACUCAGCCUUAUUUGGUGUCUUUUAAAAUAAAUAUUCUAAGAAUCAUGUAAAGAUACUUCACUGAUUCCAUUUGUGGCUAGCUGAUUCUUUGGAUAUGGGUGGGUCCUUAAUCACAACAGUAACUCCAAAUCAAAAAAAUACUUGGUUGGAUUUCUUGGCUUGUUUCAUGAGGACAGCUCAUUAAAAUGUUGUUUAUACACUAA